rnacentral:rRNA from 1 species
UACGUAGGGUGCAAGCGUUAUCCGGAAUUAUUGGGCGUAAAGAGCUCGUAGGCGGUUUUGUCGCGUCUGCUGUGAAAACUGGAGGCUCAACCUCCAGCCUGCAGUGGGUACGGGCAAACUAGAGUGGCGGUAGGGGAGAUUGGAAUUCCUGGUGUAGCGGUGGAAUGCGCAGAUAUCAGGAGGAACACCGAUGGCGAAGGCAGAUCUCUGGGCCGUAACUGACGCUGAGGAGCGAAAGCAUGGGGAGCGAACAGG